rnacentral:rRNA from 1 species
GUCUACAGCUAUGCCACCCUGAACAAGCCGGAUCCCGUCUGAUCUCAUCUGAUCUUAUCUGAUCUCGGAAGCUAAGCAGGGUGGGGCCUGGUGUUAGUACUUGGAUGGGAGACCAUCUAGGAAGUCCAGGUGCUGUAGGUG